AGCUCUGCACAGUGGCAGUAUUUUAGCCAAUGAGCUUUAUCCGAGGUGUAAUUAUUGCUAACUGAAAACUUUUCCCCAAAAUCAGUGAAGGAUAUACACCAUAUUAACAGAAUAAAGGACAAAACACACAUGAUCAUCUUAAUAGAAGCAAAAAAUAUAUACUCCAUACUUGAGAUACAAAAAUUUGU
rnacentral:snRNA from 1 species